UACGUAGGGCGCAAGCGUUGUCCGGAAUUAUUGGGCGUAAAGAGCUCGUAGGCGGCUUGUCACGUCGGGUGUGAAAGCCCGGGGCUUAACCCCGGGUCUGCAUUCGAUACGGGCAGGCUAGAGUGUGGUAGGGGAGAUCGGAAUUCCUGGUGUAGCGGUGAAAUGCGCAGAUAUCAGGAGGAACACCGGUGGCGAAGGCGGAUCUCUGGGCCAUUACUGACGCUGAGGCACGAAAGCCAGGGGAGCAAACGGG
rnacentral:rRNA from 1 species